rnacentral:miRNA from 1 species
AGAAGACUGAGGCUCCCCGC